GACGAACGCUGGCGGCGUGCUUAACACAUGCAAGUCGAACGAUGAUCAGGAGCUUGCUCCUGUGAUUAGUGGCGAACGGGUGAGUAACACGUGAGUAACCUGCCCCUGACUCUGGGAUAAGCGUUGGAAACGACGUCUAAUACUGGAUAUGAUCACUGGCCGCAUGGUCUGGUGGUGGAAAGAUUUUUUGGUUGGGGAUGGACUCGCGGCCUAUCAGCUUGUUGGUGAGGUAAUGGCUCACCAAGGCGACGACGGGUAGCCGGCCUGAGAGGGUGACCGGGCAGAAGGGGAAAUAGAGACGGACAAGGCUGCUACGGGAGGCAGCAGGGGGGAAUGUGGGAGAAUGGGCGAAAGCUUGAUGCAGCAAUGCGGGGUGGGGGAAGAAGGCGUUGGGGUGGGAAACGGAUGGGAGCGGGGAAGAAGCGGGAGGGAAGGGAAGGGAAGAAGAAGAAAAGGACAAGGAUGGG
rnacentral:rRNA from 1 species